GAACAAUGAAUAAUCAACCAAUUUUUUUCAAAAGUUUGUUGUCGCCGCUGUUUGGAAUAUGCUAAACAAAGAUAAACAAAAAUGACGUCAUUACAAAUAGGUAUAAUUUCGACUUUAUAUUGAACUUAUAAUCAUACUACAUAAUAUAUUCGUUUCUUCUUCCAAAAAAAGUAAAAUAAAUUACAAAAAAAUACCCUAAUACCCUGGCACCCUGGAGAUGUUUAUUUCAAGCGAAAGCUCAGUCUGACAAAAGGGCUAUCUCAAGGAAAAAGUUUAUUUCGAGCCCGUUGUACCUCGAAUUCAUGCUGAUGUGGCUGUAAUAGAUGGAAAUAUUCUACAGAACGUUCGUGCUUCCAUGAUCCAUCAUGCAACCGUUAGUCUUGAAGUAUGAGGCAACUGAUUUGAGCACAUUAUUUGAUCAUAUGCACAUAUGAGACCAGUUGUUUUUUAUUAUUAAUCGUAGGUUAUAGUAAAUAAAAUAAUUAACUGAUAA